GAGGGUAGAGCUCAGUAGUAGAGCACGUUCUUAGCAUGCACAAGGUUCUGGGUUCGAUCCCCAGGACCUCCA
rnacentral:tRNA from 1 species